AAAGUCGUAACAAGGUUUCCGUAGGUGAACCUGCGGAAGGAUCAUUAUCGACACAGCGGACUCCGGUCCUUGCUGCACCCUUGUUUUUUUGCGUACCGUAUCGUUUCCUCGGCGGGCUUGCCUGCCGGUUGGACAACCUUAAACCUUUUUGUAAUUGCAAUCAGCGUCAGAAAAAUCAUAAUUAUUACAACUUUCAACAACGGAUCUCUUGGUUCUG
rnacentral:misc_RNA from 1 species